AUUGAACGCUGGCGGCAGGCCUAACACAUGCAAGUCGAACGGUAACAGGGAUCAUCUUUCUGAUUCGCUGACGAGUGGCGGACGGGUGAGUAAUGUCUGGGAAACUGCCUGAUGGAGGGGGAUAACUACUGGAAACGGUAGCUAAUACCGCAUAACGUCGCAAGCCCAAAGAGGGGGACCUUCGGGCCUCUUGCCAUCGGAUGUGCCCAGAUGGGAUUAGCUAGUAGGUGGGGUAACGGCUCACCUAGGCGACGAUCCCUAGCUGGUCUGAGAGGAUGACCGGCCACACUGGAACUGAGACACGGUCCAGACUCCUACGGGAGGCAGCAGUGGGGAAUAUUGCGCAAUGGGCGCAAGCCUGAUGCAGCCAUGCCGCGUGUAUGAAGAAGGCCUUCGGGUUGUAAAGUACUUUCAGCGGGGAGGAAGGGAGUAAAGUUAAUACCUUUGCUCAUUGACGUUACCCGCAGAAGAAGCACCGGCUAACUACGUG
rnacentral:rRNA from 1 species